AGGAUCAUUAGCAUACCAAGUAAAAUGUUUAGUGGCAGUUCAUCUGUCUUUACAUUCUGAGUUCAAAUUCCAUUGAGGUUGACUUUGCCUUUCAUCCUUUCAGUGUCAAUAAAAUAAAUACUAUUAGAGCCCUGGAUUAAUGUAAU